UCCCGACGCUCCAAGUCGCAGCCACAAUUAUUGGGUCUAAAACAUUCGUAGCUAGUUCUUUAAAUUCUUUGUGAAAUUCUAAAUCUUAAGUUUAGAGCGCGCAAAGAAUACUGGAAAACUUGAGACCGGAGGAAGUAAGGAGUACGAUCGAGGUAGUAGUAAAAUAUGUUAAUCUUGAUUGGACUAACAACAGCGAAGGCACCUUACUAAUACGGAUCUGACAGUGAGGAAUGAAGGCUAGGGUCGCGAAACG
rnacentral:rRNA from 1 species